UUGGGCGUAAGAGCUCGUAGGCGGUUUGUCGCGUCUGCUGUGAAAUCCCGAGGCUCAACCUCGGGCUUGCAGUGGGUACGGGCAGACUAGAGUGCGGUAGGGGAGAUUGGAAUUCCUGGUGUAGCGGUGGAAUGCGCAGAUAUCAGGAGGAACACCGAUGGCGAAGGCAGAUCUCUGGGCCGUAACUGACGCUGAGGAGCGAAAGCGUGGGGAGCGAACAGGAUUAGAUACCCUGGUAGUCCACGCCGUAAACGUUGGGCGCUAGAUGUAGGGACCUUUCCACGGUUUCUGUGUCGUAGCUAACGCAUUAAGCGCCCCGCCUGGGGAGUACGGCCGCAAGGCUAAAACUCAAAGGAAUUGACGGGGGCCCGCACAAGCGGCGGGGCAUGCGGAUUAAUUCGAUGCAACGCGAAGAACCUUACCAAGGCUUGACAUACACCGGAAACGGCCAGAGAUGGUUGCCCCCUUGUGGUCGGUGUACAGGUGGUGCAUGGUUGUCGUCAGCUCGUGUCGUGAGAUGUUGGGUUAAGUCCCGCAACGAGCGCAACCCUCGUUCUAUGUUGCCAGCGCGUUAUGGCGGGGACUCAUAGGAGACUGCCGGGGUCAACUCGGAGGAAGGUGGGGAUGAC
rnacentral:rRNA from 1 species